CUCUAGAGGAAAGCGCUUUCUGUUGGCCAAAAGAAUAGGAAGCACUUCCCUUUAGAGUG
ensembl:miRNA